rnacentral:rRNA from 1 species
UACGUAGGCAGCAAGCGUUGUUCGGAGUUACUGGGCGUAAAGGGUGUGUAGGCGGUUGGGUAAGUGCGGUGUGAAAUCCCCCGGCUUAACUGGGAGGGUGCGCUACAAACUGUCUGACUAGAGUGUGGGAUGGGUAAGUGGAAUUCCUGGUGUAGCGGUGAAAUGCGUAGAUAUCAGGAGGAACACCGGUGGUGUAGACGGCUUACUGGACCAUAACUGACGCUGAGACACGAAAGCGUGGGUAGCAAACAGG